UACGUAGGGUGCGAGCGUUAAUCGGAAUUACUGGGCGUAAAGUGUGCGCAGGCGGCCGCGCAAGUCGAGUGUGAAAGCCCCGAGCUUAACUUGGGAAUUGCGCUCGAAACUACGUGGCUGGAGUGUGGCAGAGGAAGGUGGAAUUCCACGUGUAGCGGUGAAAUGCGUAGAGAUGUGGAGGAACACCGAUGGCGAAGGCAGCCUUCUGGGCCAACACUGACGCUUAUGCACGAAAGCGUGGGGAGCAAACAGG
rnacentral:rRNA from 1 species